UGUAGAUAGUAGUACCAAAACAUUGAAGAUGGUUUUCUCAAAACAUACUGUAGGUUCUAAAUCCUAAUCCCUGGACAGAGGAAUAGACACUCAUUCUACCCCAAUAAGAACAAGCCACGGGAGAACUAAUUUCUUCCUAGUCUUCAGAGACUAAAGAAACAUAGGACGUGCAGCAAUGAAGGAACCAAACUACUCUUUUCCUGAUCCCAUAAGUUUUCACUUUUCUGGAGAUGCAUCUGUGGGGAGCGUUACCUGGCUGUUGUCCAGCCUGUAGUCUUCCUCAAGUACAGACUCCUAAGGCACAGGGU